rnacentral:rRNA from 1 species
GUGGGGAAUAUUGGACAAUGGGCGAAAGCCUGAUCCAGCCAUGCCGCGUGUGUGAAGAAGGUCUUCGGAUUGUAAAGCACUUUAAGUUGGGAGGAAGGGCAGUAAGUUAAUACCUUGCUGUUUUGACGUUACCGACAGAAUAAGCACCGGCUAACUUCGUGCCAGCAGCCGCGGUAAUACGAAGGGUGCAAGCGUUAAUCGGAAUUACUGGGCGUAAAGCGCGCGUAGGUGGUUUUGUAAGUUGGAGGUGAAAUCCCCGGGCUCAACCUGGGAACUGCCUCCAAAAAUGCAUGACUAGAGUACGGUAGAGGGUAGUGGAAUUUCCUGUGUAGCGGUGAAAUGCGUAGAUAUAGGAAGGAACACCAGUGGCGAAGGCGACUACCUGGACUGAUACUGACACUGAGGUGCGAAAGCGUGGGGAGCAAACAGGAUUAGAUACCCGGGUAGUCC